UACGGAGGGUGCGAGCGUUGUCCGGAAUCACUGGGCGUAAAGGGCGCGUAGGCGGCAUGCCAAGCGUGUGGUGAAAGCCCGGGGCUCAACCCCGGGUCGGCCGUGCGGACUGGCGUGCUCGAGCACUGUAGGGGCGGGUGGAAUUCCUGGUGUAGCGGUGAAAUGCGCAGAUAUCAGGAGGAACACCAGCGGCGAAGGCGGCGCUCUGGGCCGGAACUGACGCUGAGGAGCGAAAGCGUGGGUAGCAAACAGG
rnacentral:rRNA from 1 species